UUGAAAGCUGGCCUUCGGGUCCGCAUUGUAAUUUGUAGAGGAUGCUUUGGGGCAGCCGCCUGUCUAAGUUCCUUGGAACAGGACGUCAUAGAGGGUGAGAAUCCCGUAUGUGACAGGACGUGGCACCCUAUGUAAAGCUCCUUCGACGAGUCGAGUUGUUUGGGAAUGCAGCUCUAAAUGGGAGGUAAAUUUCUUCUAAAGCUAAAUACCGGCGAGAGACCGAUAGCGCACAAGUAGAGUGAUCGAAAGAUGAAAAGCACUUUGGAAAGAGAGUUAAAAAGCACGUGAAAUUGUUGAAAGGGAAGCGCUUGCAAUCAGACUUGUCCUGACUGUUCGGCCGGUCUUCUGACCGGUUUACUCAGUCUGGACAGGCCAGCAUCAGUUUUGGCGGCCGGAUAAAGGCCCCGGGAAUGUGGCUCACGCUUCGGCGGGAGUGUUAUAGCCCGGGGUGUAAUACGGCCAGCCGGGACUGAGGUCCGCGCUUCGGCUAGGAUGCUGGCGUAAUGGUUGUAAGCGACCCGUCUUGA
rnacentral:rRNA from 1 species